GCCGUAAGGCGCGUACGGGCCUAACGGGCAACGACGGACUUAGUUUCGACGCUCGUUAGGCCCGUACGCGCCUUACGGACGACGUCGACUAAAUAAUAUUUUUUUAUUAUUUAGUCGACGUCGUCCGUAAGGCGCGUACGGGCCUAACGAGCGUCGAAACUAAGCCCGUCGUUAAAAUUUUAACGACGGGUUUAGUUUCGACGCUCGUUAGGCCCGUACGCGCCUUACGGACGACGUCGACUAAAUAAUAUUUUUUUUAUUAUUUAGUCGACGUCGUCCGUAAGGCGCGUACGGGCCUAACGGGCAACGACGGACUUAGUUUCGACGCUCGUUAGGCCCGUACGCGCCUUACGGACGACGUCGACUAAAUAAUAUUUUUUUUAUUAUUUAGUCGACGUCGUCCGUAAGGCGCGUACGGGCCUAACGAGCGUCGAAACUAAGCCCGUCGUUAAAAUUUUAACGACGGGUUUAGUUUCGACGCUCGUUAGGCCCGUACGCGCCUUACGGACGACGUCGACUAAAUAAUAUUUUUUUUAUUAUUUAGUCGACGUCGUCCGUAAGGCGCGUACGGGCCUAACGGGCAACGACGGACUUAGUUUCGACGCUCGUUAGGCCCGUACGCGCCUUACGGACGACGUCGACUAAAUAAUAUUUUUUUUAUUAUUUAGUCGACGUCGUCCGUAAGGCGCGUACGGGCCUAACGAGCGUCGAAACUAAGCCCGUCGUUAAAAUUUUAACGACGGGUUUAGUUUCGACGCUCGUUAGGCCCGUACGCGCCUUACGGACGACGUCGACUAAAUAAUAUUUUUUUUAUUAUUUAGUCGACGUCGUCCGUAAGGCGCGUACGGGCCUAACGGGCAACGACGGACUUAGUUUCGACGCUCGUUAGGCCCGUACGCGCCUUACGGACGACGUCGACU
rnacentral:lncRNA from 1 species